ensembl:lncRNA
GUGACUGGUCGUCGUCGUCGUCGUCCCCCCCACCAUUAGGGAUAUUAUUUGAAUCGUAGUUCUUAUGCUUAGUAAUACUUGAUAUACACACAAGACGCAAAAUAAUGUGGGAGUUUGCAACAAACACCUCAAUGCUGUUGCCCAUCCCCACUGAUUCAGGCAGAAGAAGGUCGUAAUGUCUCAUUACCAUGUUAUGUGGAUCCCUCAGUUGACCUGUCUGCUUAUACAGUGGACUGGAAACAAACUGACUUGAACAAUGUAGUCUUCUCGUGGCGACACGGGCAUGAAAAUCAUGGUGCACAGGCGCCGAGCUAUAGACGCAGAGUAACUAUCAACCCCGGAGACCUUAGCAGAGGAAAUCUAACUCUGCAGAUCUUCUCAGCACGCCUGUCUGAUAGUGGACAUUACAGGUGUUUUGUGCCAAAACUGAAAACCUUUUGCAUCGUUCAUCUUAAUGUAACCAAAGAGAUUAAUGUCAGGUCCAGCACAACCACAUCUCCAAAUUUCCACAGCACAACCACAACGCUGAAGCCAGAUGAUCCAGAUAAACUUCUUGACGCGCUCCUUCCUGUUGGUAUCAUCUUUCUCCUGAUUGUCGUUGGAUUUUGUCUGAAGAAACGUGUAACGAUCCGGCAAUGCGUGGGGGAGCUGAAAGGGCAGAAACGAGGAGUGGACCGUUCCAUCCACGUUGAACUUCAGUCUUUGGAGAAUUCAACACUGAAAGACGACAAGAACAAGGCUUCUUGAGAAAUGAGUGAAGAAGUACAAUGUUGUGCUUAUCUUUGAUUGGCUGAGUAAUCAAAAUGAUUUUAGAAAGUGUCCUCAAGCUGCUCUCAUUACGUUACAGCUGGUUUAAGUACAGCUUAAUUCAAAUUAAUUACUUUGGAUUGUUUUAAGUGGUUCUAAAAGCUCAUCCUUAUACCCAUUUAGAUACUUAUAUUUGAUCUGUGUCAUUGUCUUGUAUUUCAUAUUGGAAUAGGAUGUGCUUUUGUUUAGUGUAUGUAGCACUUUGCAGCUUGGCUUCAUUUCAGCCUGUGGAGAUUCCAGGAAGUAACUCAAUUAUGAGAACCAACAUCUACACUUAACAUAUUUGUUAUGCCAUUAUUAUAGUUUGAACAUUACUGUUCAUACCUACUGCUGUUUAAAGCACUUUUGUUGUCUUUGAGAAGAAGAGUUUUUGGAUGUCCUCUGUGUCAGUAAUCAAAAGAAUCAGAUCCAAUUUAAUUAAAACUACCUCGUUAUCUAAGGAUCUGGAAACUACAGUGGCUUGCAAAAGUAUUCGGCCCCUUGAACUUUUCCACCUUUUGUCACGUUACAGCCACAAACAUGAAUCCAUUUUAUUGGAAUUCCAGGUGAAAGACCAAUACAAAGUGGUGUACACUUGAGAAGUGGAACGAAAAUCAUACAUGAUUCCAAACAUUUUUUACAAAUAAAUAACUGAAAAGUGGGGUGUGCGUAAUUAUUCAUCCCCCUGAGUCAAUACUUUGUAGAACCAC